UACGAGGGGGGCAAGCGUUGUUCGGAAUUAUUGGGCGUAAAGGGUGCGUAGGCGGUCUGAUAAGUCAUCUGUGAAAUCUAUGGGCUCAACCCAUAGCCUGCAGGCGAAACUGUCGGGCUUGAGUAUGGGAGAGGUGAGUGGAAUUUCCGGUGUAGCGGUGAAAUGCGUAGAUAUCGGAAGGAACACCUGUGGCGAAAGCGGCUCACUGGACCAUUACUGACGCUGAUGCACGAAAGCGUGGGGAUCAAACAGG
rnacentral:rRNA from 1 species